rfam:Pelodiscus sinensis unplaced genomic scaffold scaffold3722, whole genome shotgun sequence.
GGCUGUGUAGCUCAGUGGUAGAGUGUUUGAUUGUGCCUCCAGUGGUCCUUGGUUCAAAGCCAAGUACCCCUU